rnacentral:rRNA from 1 species
AUAGCGUAUAUUUAAGUUGUUGCAGUUAAAAAGCUCGUAGUUGGAUUUCGGGUGGGUUCCAGCGGUCCGCCUAUGGUGAGUACUGCUGUGGCCCUCCUUUCUGUCGGGAACGGGCUCCUGGGCUUCACUGUCCGGGACUCGGGUUCGACGAUGAUACUUUGAGUAAAUUAGAGUGUUCAAAGCAAGCCUACGCUCUGAAUACUUUAGCAUGGAAUAUCGCGAUAGGACUCUGGCCUAUCUCGUUGGUCUGUAGGACCGGAGUAAUGAUUAAGAGGGACAGUCGGGGGCAUUCGUAUUUCAUUGUCAGAGGUGAAAUUCUUGGAUUUAUGAAAGACGAACUACUGCGAAAGCAUUUGCCAAGGAUGUUUUCAUUAAUCAAGAACGAAAGUUGGGGGCUCGAAGACGAUUAGAUACCGUCGUAGUCUCAACCAUAAACGAUGCCGACUAGGGAUUGGAGGAUGUUCUUUUGAUGACUUCUCCAGCACCUUAUGAGAAAUCAAAGUUUUUGGGUUCCGGGGGGAGUAUGGUCGCAAGGCUGAA